CGGGACAGCCUCGGGAAACCGUGGGUAAUACCGGAUACUCCGGGACGGCCGCAUGGUCGCCCCGGGAAAGCCCAGACGGGAGGGGAUGGGCCCGCGGCCUGUUAGCUAGUCGGCGGGGUAACGGCCCACCGAGGCGAUUAUGGGUAGCCGGGUUGAGAGACCGACCGGCCAGAUUGGGACUGAGACACGGCCCAGACUCCUACGGGAGGCAGCAGUGGGGAAUCUUGCGCAAUGGGCGGAAGCCUGACGCAGCGACGCCGCGUGCGGGACGAAGGCCUUCGGGUCGUAAACCGCUUUCAGCAGGGACGAGGCCCUCACGGUGACGGUACCUGCAGAAGAAGCCCCGGCUAACUACGUGCCAGCAGCCGCGGUAAUACGUAGGGGGCGAGCGUUAUCCGGAUUCAUUGGGCGUAAAGCGCGCGUAGGCGGCCUGUUAGGUCGGGGGUCAAAUACCGGGGCUCAACCCCGGUCCGCCCCCGAUACCGGCAGGCUUGAGUCUGGUAGGGGAAGGCGGAAUUCCCAGUGUAGCGGUGGAAUGCGCAGAUAUUGGGAAGAACACCGGCGGCGAAGGCGGCCUUCUGGGCCGCGACUGACGCUGAGGCGCGAAAGCUAGGGGAGCGAACAGGAUUAGAUACCCUGGUAGUCCUAGCCGUAAACGAUGGA
rnacentral:rRNA from 1 species